rnacentral:tRNA from 1 species
ACCUCCGUGGCGCAAUCGACUAGCGCGUUCGGCUGUUAACCGAAAGGUUGGUGUUCGAGCCACCAGGAGGCG